AGGUGGGGGACUAGGAGAGGCAGGUGCUACUAGCUCCGCACUACUAGUUUUGUGACCUUGGGCAAGCUAGUUAAUCUCUGCAAUGGACCUCAUCAUGACCGUUGCUGUACUUACAAUGAAAACAACUUGGUGGAUGGCCACCAAGCCAUGCAUUAUUCAAGCCCAUGUUGAGUGCUGGACCAUCAACAAUGGAGAGACAUGAUCCUUGCUCUCAUGGAACUUAUGCUGUAGUGGAAGACAACAUGUAAACAGCUGCAAUACAGUUAAAUAUUUGCUGUAAUGAAGUUAUAUAUGUAGUGUAAAAAGGGACAGGAAAAAUCUUUAAUUCAAGGAAAUCUUUAUGAGGACGUAGAACUUGAACAGAAAUGUGAAGCCAUCUUUUUCUCAGGACAUUUGGGAAAGGGAAUUCAAGGCAGUCACUUUCAUCUCUUUAAGUUGAUAAUUUGCUACUUAACUUCAGAUCCAGGGACCAAAGGCCUGAAUUCCAGUUGUGCCUCAAGAUGGUGCUUUCCCUCAUUUUUGUAGCUCAAGACGUACAUUCAACUCAAGAGUCCA
rnacentral:sRNA from 1 species